rnacentral:rRNA from 1 species
CCCUUAGAUGUCCUGGGCCGCACGCGCGCUACACUGAGUGUCUGAGAUACGAGUCUGCCUAGCCGGCGAGGUCUAGGUAAUCGCUGAAAGACACAUCAUCCUUGGGAUAGAUUAUUGCAGAUAUUAAUCUUGAACGAGGAAUUCCUAGUAAGCGCAAGUCAACAGCUUGCGUUGAUUACGUCCCUGCCCUUUGUGCACACCGCCCGUCGCUACUACUGAUUGGAUGUUUAAGCGAGGUUCUCGAACUGCUAGCGACUUAGCUUCGGUGAGGUCGCCGUGUGGGAAGUGAACCGAGCUUUGGUGUCUAGAGGAAGUAAAAGUCGUAUCA